GACGAACGCUGGCGGCGUGCCUAAUACAUGCAAGUCGAACGAGUGGCGGACGGGUGAGUAAUGUCUGGGAAACUGCCUGAUGGAGGGGGAUAACUACUGGAAACGGUAGCUAAUACCGCAUACCAUCGGAUGUGCCCAGAUGGGAUUAGCUAGUAGUUGGGGUAACCGCUCACUUAGGCGACGAUCCCUAGCUGGUCUGAGAGGAUGACCAGCCAACCUGGAACAGAGACACUGUCCAGACUCCUACGGGAGGCAGCAGUGGGGAAUAUUGCACAAUGGGCGCACGCCUGAUGCAGCCAUGCCGCGUGUAUGAAGAAGGCCUUCGGGUUGUAAAGUACUUUCAGCGGGGAGGCGUUACCCGCAGAAGAAGCACCGGCUAACUCCGUGCCAGCAGCCGCGGUAAGUC
rnacentral:rRNA from 1 species